rnacentral:rRNA from 1 species
AGGCCUUCGGGUGCUGACGAGCGGCGGACGGGUGAGGAAUGCAUAGGAAUCUGCCUAUUAGUGGGGGAUAACACGGGGAAACUCGUGCUAAUACCGCAUACGUCCUACGGGAGAAAGCGGGGGAUCUUCGGACCUCGCGCUAAUAGAUGAGCCUAUGCCGGAUUAGCUAGUUGGUAGGGUAAAGGCUUACCAAGGCGACGAUCCGUAGCUGGUCUGAGAGGAUGAUCAGCCACACUGGGACUGAGACACGGCCCAGACUCCUACGGGAGGCAGCAGUGGGGAAUAUUGGACAAUGGGCGCAAGCCUGAUCCAGCCAUGCCGCGUGUGUGAAGAAGGCCUUCGGGUUGUAAAGCACUUUAAGUGGGGAGGAAGGUUAGUGGUUUAAUACGCUACUAAAUUGACGUUACCCACAGAAUAAGCACCGGCUGACUCUGUGCCAGCAGCCGCGGUAAUACAGAGGGUGCAAGCGUUAAUCGGAAUUACUGGGCGUAAAGCGCGCGUAGGUGGUUUUGUAAGUUGAAUGUGAAAUCCCCGGGCUUAACCUGGGAAUGGCAUCCAAAACUGCACGACUAGAGUAUGGGAGAGGGAGGUAGAAUUCCAGGUGUAGCGGUGAAAUGCGUAGAGAUCUGGAGGAAUACCGGUGGCGAAGGCGGCCUCCUGGCCUAAUACUGACACUGAGGUGCGAAAGCGUGGGUAGCAAACAGGAUUAGAUACCCUGGUAGUCCACGCCGUAAACGAUGAGAACUAGCCGUUGGUCUCCUUGAGAGGUUAGUGGCGCAGCUAACGCGAUAAGUUCUCCGCCUGGGGAGUACGGCCGCAAGGUUAAAACUCAAAUGAAUUGACGGGGGCCCGCACAAGCGGUGGAGCAUGUGGUUUAAUUCGACGCAACGCGAAGAACCUUACCUGGUCUUGACAUCCACGGAAUCCUGCAGAGAUGUGGGGGUGCCUUCGGGAACCGUGAGACAGGUGCUGCAUGGCUGUCGUCAGCUCGUGUUGUGAAAUGUUGGGUUAAGUCCCGUAACGAGCGCAACCCUUGUCCUUAGUUGCCAGCGAGUAAUGUCGGGAACUCUAAGGAGACUGCCGGUGACAAACCGGAGGAAGGUGGGGACGACGUCAAGUCAUCAUGCCCCUUACGACCAGGGCUACACACGUGCUACAAUGGCCGGUACAGAGGGUUGCCAAGCCGCGAGGUGGAGCCAACCCCGAAAAGCCGGUCGUAGUCCGGAUUGCAGUCUGCAACUCGACUGCAUGAAGUCGGAAUCGCUAGUAAUCGCAGAUCAGAAUGCUGCGGUGAAUACGUUCCCGGGCCUUGUACACACCGCCCGUCACACCAUGGGAGUGGGUUGCACCAGAAGUAGUUAGCUUAACCGCAAGGGGAGCGAUUACCACGGUGUGGUUCAUGACUGGGGUGAAGUCGUAACAAGGUA